rnacentral:lncRNA from 1 species
AAACACGCGGGGGUCGCAGAAAGAGGCGGCUGCUAUUGGAGGAGCCCAUCCAGGCCUCCCCUACGCCUAGCUCCGGAGCUGUCAGUUACUCGAACAGUGCGAGCGAGAUUUUGGCGCCACAGCUGGGAGUGAGGCUUUUGUUCCAUAACAAAAACAAGCGCCUGAGUGGCAAGGCUGCCAGCGCCCAGCCCAGCCGAGCAGGCAUAAAGGAGCCCGCGUCGCGGAUGUUUGUGACCUGUCAUUAGAGACAGCUCCCUCAGCUUCCAAACGAUCACAUGGAGACAAUGUGGCAAAUUAUGUUUGCACCAGCAAAGACCCUGCUCGAGCCACGAAGGUGAAUACUGUGCACCGGGAUCUAGUAAGGGGGGCCUGCUUGCUCAGGCGGAAAAACACCAACGAGUCAUUUCCAGCGCUUUUUGUCUCUGUCAAAGAACUUCUGUUUUCCCUCUGCAGCUGAAAGGCAACCUUCUGGUUGAAACAAGUUAAAUGAUGAAUCCAAGAGGAAAAACUAGGUAUUAAGAUGUCAUAAUGUAGUUCUCCCGAUAUGGUGGUCCCCCAUUAUGAGUACAUAGAGAUGGAGUCUACUAUAUUAUUUGUUUGAUGUUUGCACAUAUGAUGCUAAAUUAGAACACGUCCAGACCCAGGUUACUCUCUACUAUGGAAAAAUUCAUGUGAAAACCAGAAUUCAAAAGUCAGAUAGAUUAGGGGCGAGUGUUCUCAUUUCAGUCUUUGAGUUUCAAAGCAUUCCAAAGACUUGAAACUCCUCUCCAAAUCAGUAAAGCUGACAUCUAAAGUGCCACAAUUGAGAAUUUAUUUAUUCAGAUUUAGUCUGGUUAGAAUGGAAGUACCUUUGAGAAAACGAUGUUAAAAGAUAGUCGUUUACACCUUAGUGUGAAUUUGUUUAAUUAUUUUUCUUUUGAGAGUAGGCUUUUAGGAAGGAAAGAGACUAGUUACAACUGAGUUCCUGGAAGGAGACAGAUGAACAAUAUGGGUGGAAAUGAAUGCAGAAACACAGUCUAGGUGUCCCAGAAGCCCUGUUUGUGGCUUCACAAUUCUGGAGAAACCCAGCUUUUUAAAGAGAGGGUUGUUUUGUUUUGUCUUAUUUUUGCAAUAAUAGAACUUUCUACAGUUAUGAACAUGUUCUAUAUCUGCACUGUCUCAUAUGCGAACCACUAGGCACAUGUGGUUAUUGAGGACUUGAAAUGUGCCUGGUGUGACUGAGAAACUGAAUUUUUAAUUCGAUCGGAUUUAAAUAGUCACAUGUGACUAAUGGUUCCCAUAUUGGGCAGCACAGCUUUAGAGCAUUUUAAAAGGUGUCCACAAAUCUUCAGGAAAAAAAAUUGCACAGUGUGGUGGGCAGCCUCAAAGACGGCCCACAAUAGUCCCCACCUCCUGGUAUUCAUGCCCCUGAGUGGGAUUCCCUCCUUUUGAGCAUGGGCUACAACUAGCAAUUUGUUUCCAGCAAUGGAACAUGGCCAAAGUGGUGGGAUGUCACCUCCAAGAUUAGGUUACAAAGGGACUCCAGCUCCAUCUGGAGCAUCUUCUUUGGCUCUCUCCCUUGUUUGCUCUGAGGGAAGCCAGCUGCCAUGUCAUCAGCUGCCCUAUGGAGCGGCCCCGCUGGCAGGGAACUGAUGUCUUCAGCCAACAGCCAGCAAGGAUCUGAAGCCCUCAGACCAACAAACAUCAAAGAACUAAAUGCUGCCAAAAACCACGGGAAGGAGCUGAGAACUGAAUUCUCCACCAGUCCCGGCCUAGAGAUGACUGCAGCCCUGGCUGACACCUUGAUUGCAGCUUUGUGAACCAGAGACACCCAGGGCUUGGUUUGGUGCCUCUCCCCUUCCCAUCUUUCUCCUCACGUCCUGAAGCCUGUUUGUGCCCAGUGUUCUGAGCACCACAGAGACCACCAGGAGGGCUUGACCCGGCCUUGGAUGAGAAUAAUGACAUGCCUGGAGCAGGAGAUGCUCAUUAACCCAGAAGAACAAAUAACUGAUGGGAGAACUAAAAUAAUAAGAUGAGCCAAAGCAGUCUCAAACCACAACAUAAUCAGCAACUUUAAUAUUGUAUUUCUUUCUUCCUUCAACAAACCAUUAUGUGUGUGCUGUGUGUUUGGCACUGUGCUAAGCAUUUGAGCGACAUUGCUGGGUAACUACAAAGAAGACAUUUUUGAGCAGACAGACAAUGAGUGGAUCAUAUCAGUAAUUAUGAAGUUACCACUGUGUGUUAUAAGAGAGCUGUUGGCGCUGGAGUGCUAGUGGGUGCCGCUCUUCUAGGUGAAGGAGACAUCACAAGCCAAGGUUCUGUAGCCAGGAGACAUGGCAGGUUGGAGAGACUGAAAGGUGACCAGUAUGGUCAUUACCAGAUUUUACUUUUUAAAAAAACACUCUGACUACUCUAUAGAUAGAAGCCAAAGUAGGAGGGAAUUCUUCAGCGGGACACAGGGUAGCUCGUGAAACCUGAAGUCUGAAAGCACAGCUACAUCUCAGUAAAGCCUGGAAUC